AUACUUACCUGGCAGGGGAGAUACCAUGAUCACGAAGGUGGUUUUCCCAGGGCAAGGCUUAUCCAUUGCACUCCGGAUGUGCUGACCCCUGCGAUUCCACCACCCCCCAAAAAAAAAUUUUUUUUAAAAGGAGCACAAAGUGAGUCUGUAACCCCAG
ensembl:snRNA U1 U1 spliceosomal RNA